GGGCCCAUAGCUCAGUUGGUUAGAGCAACGGACUCAUAAUCCGUUGGCCGGGGGUUCAAGUCCCUCUGGGCCCA
rnacentral:tRNA from 1 species